AGAAUGGAAAAAUAAAAAAUAAAAGGAAAUCUGGGAGCUAUUCAGCUUGAGGACCAUACAGAUUCCUCUGCCUUUGCCAGAUUUGAGUUAAAACUGAUGGGAUAUGGCACUUGAUGUCAUUAAUUCUAAUUUUGCAGAAGAAUUCGGAGUCACGCAACUGCAGCGGCUGAGUUCAGGUGAAUUCUUCCCUCAGAGCUGGCCAAGAAGCUGCUUGGGCAAAAACCACCGAGGGAGUGAGGAAGACUAAACAUCACAUCACCGUGCGUGCUUUGCAGAUUACUGCACAGCUUCCAGCCGCUCUUUCAGCGGUGGCUGUGGAACGCUGCCGGUGGAUGGCUGAGCCUAAGAGCACAGACCUGUCUGCUUUCAUUGGCACCAUGCUGCCGGCCCUAGCAGUCAGCCAGGACUCCCACUGCUUUCAAACAAUGGGGGGUUACCUGACUAGGGACCGCAGGAUGCAAAGCCCGGAGCAGUCGAUGCAAGAUAAACAGAACUAUAAGCUAACAUCGCGCGGUCUUUUUUCUUCUGUUCCUGGAACUUUGCAGUUUUCUGUCCCGUUCCCUUCCCUAACGCAGUUCAGUGCUUUGUAAGAGCAACUAGUCUCUUGCGUCAAUUGUUUUGUCCCAAACUAAGUCUUUAAGCACAAGACAAUAGAUCACAGCGAUCCCUCAAGUUUCAGGUAAACAAAGCAUUACAGUCAUUCUCUCGUGGGCUUUCUGUUCAGUCAGCUGACUCGGGCUUAUUAACAUUUCUGACCAUAUGCCUCCAAAAACAACACAGCCUCUCUCUCCUGCCCCCAACGAGCCUGACAGACAUUUGGACAACUUUGGCACAAGGUCUUUUAUUAGUAACAAGAGUAAAAUACACUGGAAAUGUCAAUUUAUAAAUGGGCACACUUUUAAGUCCUGCUGUAGACACUGUUCAAAAGGAGAGGCUAAUGCCUCCGAAUUUCUUUUUUAAAAGUCAGUUAAAAUAAAAAUGUGGCCAAGAUGAAAACUAGAAUGAUUCCCAGAUAGACUGUAACUUGAGUGUGUCACAUGUGACUUAGACACCUACAGCCUACGCUACUGCAAUGUGCUCUACCUGGGUUUAGUUGUGCAGGGCCAUUGGAAGAUAGAGAGCUAGUGUAAAAUGCAAUUGCAGGGGGCCAAUGAGCAUGUUUAUAUCCUGCCUCUGUGCUCUUUCCUCUUCACUGCCACUCAUCCAUCUCUGGGUGAAACUGAAUAGCUAUUUGCAAUAUACAAAACCAUACAUUGCAUUACAUUAGCACCUAAAGACCUCAAUCCGGGAUCAGAGUCCAAAUUGUGCUAGGAGCUGAGUGCAUCAGAGGUGUCAAACUCAUUAUAUGGAA